UGCAGUCGAACGGUAGCAGGAAGUGCUUGCACUUUGCUGACGAGUGGCGGACGGGUGAGUAAUACUUAGGAACAUGCCUUUGUGUGGGGGAUAACCAUUGGAAACGAUGGCUAAUACCGCAUAAUGUCUUUGGACCAAAGAGGGCUUUCGGGCUCUCGCGCAAAGAGUGGCCUAAGUGAGAUUAGCUUGUUGGUGAGGUAAAGGCUCACCAAGGCGACGAUCUCUAGCUGUUCUGAGAGGAAGAUCAGCCACACUGGGACUGAGACACGGCCCAGACUCCUACGGGAGGCAGCAGUGGGGAAUAUUGCACAAUGGGGGCAACCCUGAUGCAGCCAUGCCGCGUGUGUGAAGAAGGCCUUCGGGUUGUAAAGCACUUUCAGUUGUGAGGAAAGGUUGGUGGUUAAUACCCAUCAGCUGUGACGUUAGCAACAGAAGAAGCACCGGCUAACUCCGUGCCAGCAGCCGCGGUAAUACGGAGGGAGCUAGCGUUGUUCGGAAUUACUGGGCGUAAAGCGCGCGUAGGCGGCUUUGCAAGUAGGGGGUGAAAUCCCGGGGCUUAACCCCGGAACUGCCCUCUAAACUGCAGAGCUAGAAUCCUGGAGAGGUGAGUGGAAUUCCUAGUGUAGG
rnacentral:rRNA from 1 species